rnacentral:rRNA from 1 species
AGAACGAACGCUGGCGGCAUGCCUAACACAUGCAAGUCGAACGAGACCUUCGGGUCUAGUGGCGCACGGGUGCGUAACGCGUGGGAACCUGCCUUUAGGUUCGGGAUAACAGUUAGAAAUGACUGCUAAUACCGGAUGAUGUCUUCGGACCAAAGAUUUAUCGCCUUUAGAUGGGCCCGCGUUGGAUUAGCUAGUUGGUGGGGUAAAGGCCUACCAAGGCGACGAUCCAUAGCUGGUCUGAGAGGAUGAUCAGCCACACUGGGACUGAGACACGGCCCAGACUCCUACGGGAGGCAGCAGUGGGGAAUAUUGGACAAUGGGCGAAAGCCUGAUCCAGCAAUGCCGCGUGAGUGAUGAAGGCCUUAGGGUUGUAAAGCUCUUUUACCCGGGAUGAUAAUGACAGUACCGGGAGAAUAAGCUCCGGCUAACUCCGCGCCAGCAGCCGC